GUUCCUUAUUGUAUCUUCUGAAAGAAUAAUUUCAUAUCUAAAUGGUUUACUAAUACUAUUAAGGGUUAAUAGCCCCAAUCACAAAGUCUUUUGGUAAACUAUUUCAAUUUUGUUCUGCUCUCUUGUUUGUGAUUGGGUCUUUUGUAUUCUUAUAAGCUAUAUACAUAUGUUGAGUUGUGGAAAAAAUUAUAAACUAUAGUACAUCUAUUUCGGGGAAAAAGUCAGCUUACUAAUGGUUUACUAAUCCUAUUGAGGAUCAGUAGCCUAUUGAGGGUCAGUACACUAUUGAGGUGCAAUAGCUUCAUAAUUUCAUUAAAGCUAUUAUUAUGAAGCUAUUGAUUUCUAGCAUCUAUAUGUUGCAUUGCUUUGAAAAUGUGGGAUGUAUUAUAUGAUUUCCUUAUAGUUCUGUUUUUUAGUAAAGAUUUGAUUUUUGAGUAGUGGGCUCGUGUUCCUUGUUAAUCCUCUAUGUUUGGUGUAACAUUGUGUGACUAGUUUGUGACUGUUAUUCUUGAGAAUGUUUCUUUUCGUUAAAUUUGUUCUUCAUGUUUUGUCACAACAUAAUUAGGAUCAGAUACAUGAAUAAUGAGUAAAUUAUUGAGGGUCAGUAUUUAAUGAGUAAGCUAUUGAGAGUCAGUAUUUUUUUAUAAAGAUGUUCUACUGAGAGUUAGUACUUAUAUAUUUACAUAUCGUAUACAUCGAUUAAUUGCAAUGGCAAAGAGGAAGGGGAAAACACUUAUUAAAGAAGCCGCAAGUGGUCAAAAGACAAGAUGAAAGAAGAAAGUUGUUGCAAUCGAAGCACCAAGGAAACAUAGGGAAUUGCCUGGGAUUCAUUUUGCGAUGAAGACGAAUAUGAAAUUAUACGGAGGAAUGAUGUGGAAAGAUUGCUAAAAGGAUAUGCAAGAACUAGAAAUAUUUCUUUCACAACUAUGAAAGAUUGAUGAAAUGCAAUUUUCCAGUAUUUGAAUUGUUCUAGGCCACAUUUCAAAAUGUGUAUCUGAUGGUAAUUUUCUAUAAUAUUUAAGCUUCAAAGAGUAGAAUUUCUAAAAA